rnacentral:lncRNA from 1 species
CUCAGCAGCCAUGAGUUUUGAGUAUACGCCAGUGCUGUGCCUGUCUUAGCAGCCAAAAUAUUGUUCAGUCCAGCAUUGUUCCAGUUAUGAUGGUCUUGGGUUUAGGGCUUCCACUAGCUAGCACUACAAGAAAUGCAGUGGUCAGGGCUUAGGGACAACACUAGAUGACCUACUCAGAAUCUCAGAAUGGGCUUACUAUUGAAGGAUGUUCCUCAACAAACCUAGAGUGCAAAGAAUGGAGCAAGUACCUACUUCUUCAAUGUGCAAGGAUAAACACGUGACAAGGAUUUAGAACAAUCAAGAAGACAUGACAUCAUCAAAUGGACAAAAUAAGUGGGAGAUUAAGACACAAGACAACACACAAACUGAGGGGAAACCAUAUGUGAACACAGGAAAGAAGACAGCCAUCUUCAAGGCAAAAAAGAGUCCUCAGGAGAAACUGUAUCAGCAGACACCUUGAUCAUGGACUUCUGGGCUUCAAAAUUGAACCACAUAGUAUCCCAAGAAGAGAAACAAUUCAAUUAGUAAGAAGGGAUUUCGCUAAGCACAAGAAAGUUUAUAAAGAUAAUUUUCCAAAUGCAGGUAAAGCCUGAAACUUCAGCAGCCAUUUUGAUGUCAUGAGGGUAAUCAGCCUAAAAGGGAAUGCCAGCAUGCCAAGGAUGGUCUUGGAAAUGGGAAGGAUGUGAACAAGACUCCGAGAAGAGUAGUGGAGGAGAAAGAGACAAGCCGACACACCACAACAUUUAUGUGACAUAAAAUCUCGAGUUCUGAAAUAUUUUGAUUUCUGUAUCCCCAGUGGACAGAGCAUGCCACUACCUAGCACAGAAUACAUAUGUAGAUAUUGAAUAAAUAAGUUAUCCCUAUAAAUAGUGGAAUCAACUGUUUCAUUAGACAGAGGCUCAUAUGAUGAUGGUCUACAAGAAGUGUCUACAUCUAAGUUUUAAAAUUCAACAUUCAAUAUACUUAGUACAUUUAAGUUAUUUGUUGAAAAUGUGCAACAGUUUUUUAAAAACAUUAUUUUUCAGUAUAGUUUAGUAGAUCCAUACCUAUUCUUUUUUGGAUUCCAAGAAUGAGAGAAAUGUAGCAAGUUUGGCGUUGCUUUUCAACUGCCACAGUCACAAAAUAGCUUCCUAUUAGUGAAGAAUUUUGUUUUCUGCCUUUUUACUGUGUAGAAUGCUUUCCAAGUAGAAUAUAAACCUAAUUCAUUCAUAUUGUGCUAAGUAUGUUUGUAUCAUUAAAUUUUUGAAGAAAAACAUCAAGCCGUCAGCUUCAUGGAGGUCUAAUUAGUGUGCAGAACUGCCUUGACUACAUUCUUAAAAGAUGUAAGUAAAACUAUAAAAACAUCUUUCUUGGUGUUGAGGUUUUAAAUGAAUUAAUUAAGUUUAUUCCAAUUAGGUCAUUUUUCUUUCAAGAAAUAAUAUCACUUUCAACAUUUUCUAAUGUUUCAUAUGUAAAAUGAGUAAUCUAAACUUGGAGUCUCUACGUCCUCAGCUUGCAUACAUUCUGUUCUUCACCUGUUAAAAUAUAGACAAAUUCUUUAAUGAAGUUCGUCUCUAUCAGUUCACAAAUUGUCUCUUACUUGGUCAGUACAUUAACAACUUUUAGGCCUCCUACAUCACUAUUUUAUUGCAUUGGCUGUUGUAAAAUAUGUUCUCAAAUUUUUCUUUUGCUCUAAACCCCCUGAAUGUACUGUGUAAUUCCUUGGCUGAUUUUAAAUUGACAUUUAAAAUUACAUUUAAAAAUGUAUAUUUUAGAUAUUUGCCAAGUAUAUAAUUUCAAAAAUGAUAAAAAAUAUUCUUUAAGGAUAAAAAUAUUUAUUUUUAUAUAAAUGAAUGGAAUCUAAAAGCUAUAGUGAUUUAAUACCUGUCAUCAAAAAUUCAUCGUAUAUUAAUGUUCUCUUUUUCACUACUCAUAAAUCGCAUGCUGUUUUAUUUUCAUUUUGUUUUCACAUAUUCUUUUGACUUCUCUGAUAGAAUUGAUCAUUAUAUAAUCUAUUUAAUUGUUUGAAAACAUUGUAUCUAUCAACCUGUUUAGCAUUCUGUUAUAGAAUUCUGUACAUGUAUUAGAAUAUAAGUUUUUCCAGGGAACAUACAUUUUUAAUAUUAGAAAAUCUCUUUCGUUGUUAUUAAACAUGAGUUAUCAUUUAUAUGGUAAUUAAUACAAAAUCAAAUAAUAUAAGCAAGUGACUGUUUUGUAUGAAUAAUUAUUAACUACAAAUACUAAAAUAUUAAUUAAAAUGUAUCUGUUAAUAUUAUUCCAUGGAGAAAUAUUAUCAGCUUUUUCAAAUAAUUAAAUUGUCAAAUAGGUGAAUUUAUGCAGGAAGGUGAUUUUAGUUUUCUCUUAGUGAUGAAAACUAUCAGGCAAAUAAUUAUAAUUAUUAUUUUUCCCAGUCAUAUUCCUGAAAUGCUUCUGUCAAUUCAAUACCCUUUAAUAAAAGACUCAGCUAAUAUCAUUUUAAAUCCUCUCUGUUAGAAACAAGGAAUUUGGAAGAAUAUUCAGUAUUUCAAGAUACCUAAAAUAAUAGCUACCACUUUCUGAGUGCUUAGUAUGUGUGAAUCACAUUUUUUGUGGAAUAUUUUAUCUAUUCUUAUUAUAAUCCUAUGAAAUAAGAUCAUACCAAUAUUAUGUAUUAAAGAAGUAAGGAUCACAUAUUAGAGAUGUUAAAUAAAUUUUCAAAAAUGUUACACCUAUAAUAGGGAAUAUUAAAUUUAAAAAGUAGUGGUAUUUUGUACUGUUCAUUGAAAUAUAGUUAAACAAUUUAUCUCCUUUGAUUGAACUCAUAUGGUGGCAUUUGGUACAAAGCCAAAGUGUUCACAUGCUUUGUGCCCUAUCAUUUUUCAAAUUGAGAUAAUAUAUGCAUAUAUAGUAUUUUUUUUUUUUUGAGACGGAGUCUUGCUUUGUCACCCAGGCUGGAGUACAGUGGAACGAUCUCGGCUCACUGCAACCUCUGCCUCCCCGGUUCAAGUGAUUCUCUCACCUUAGCCUCCUGGGUAGCUGGAAUUACAGGUGCCCACCACCACGC